GGUUAUAGCUUAGUGGUAGAGCACGAGCCUGGCAUGUGUGAGGCACUGGAUUCGAUCCUCAGCACCA
rnacentral:tRNA from 1 species